GAUGAACGCUGGCGGCGUGCCUAAUACAUGCAAGUCGAGCGAACAGACGAGGAGCUUGCUCCUCUGACGUUAGCGGCGGACGGGUGAGUAACACGUGGAUAACCUACCUAUAAGACUGGGAUAACUUCGGGAAACCGGAGCUAAUACCGGAUAAUAUAUUGAACCGCAUGGUUCAAUAGUGAAAGACGGUUUUGCUGUCACUUAUAGAUGGAUCCGCGCCGCAUUAGCUAGUUGGUAAGGUAACGGCUUACCAAGGCAACGAUGCGUAGCCGACCUGAGAGGGUGAUCGGCCACACUGGAACUGAGGCACGGUCCAGACUCCUACGGGAGGCAGCAGUAGGGAAUCUUCCGCAAUGGGCGAAAGCCUGACGGAGCAACGCCGCGUGAGUGAUGAAGGUCUUCGGAUCGUAAAACUCUGUUAUUAGGGAAGAACAGAUGUGUAAGUAACUAUGCACGUCUUGACGGUACCUAAUCAGAAAGCCACGGCUAACUACGU
rnacentral:rRNA from 1 species